ACCAGUGUGGCACAGUGGUUUGAGUGCUGGACUACAACUCUGGAGACCGGGGUUCGAUUCCCAGCUCGGCCA
rnacentral:tRNA from 1 species